UGUAUAAAAUGUAAUAUUCUUUUCGAUGUUUGAUGACAAAAGUGCACUUCACUGCAAUGCUUAUAGAUUUACUUUGAAGUUAACCUACAAAUGAUAUUUAUCAGCAUUUGCAAAGGAAUGAUGUUUGAUAUUCAUGUAAAUUCAAUAUUGAUUUAAAAGCUAAUAAUAAUUUAUUCGAUUUUAUCACACAGUUGACUUUUCCACUUAUUUCUUUUAUAACGCUAAUCAGCCUUAGGUUAAAUCAAUCCCAAUUAUAAUGGUCAUAUUUCUAAAUAAAAAGGUGAAAUAUAUGUCUACGAAAACAAGGGGAGUAAUACUAGUAGAAUAGCUUUUUGAUAAUAUUUGUAUGAUAAUUGAUGGGACAUUAAUUUUAUUUAUUCAUUGAAAUAAAGAAAUCGGAACAGAAUUUGGCAGAACA
rnacentral:misc_RNA from 1 species